rnacentral:ncRNA from 1 species
AUUAAAACUAAGAUGGAGAAAAAGAUAUUUAAUAUAUUAACUUAAGAGAGUCAGUAUACGGUGAAAGCUGAUGUUAGUAUGAAUAUGUAAUAAUCACUCCGGAGUUUUUUAGUAGAAAGAUUUUAUCAAGUAAACUAAGACGUAUACCAGCGAUAUAUGGUUAGGGUUGAACAUUUAGUAGACCUAAAAUGAGUGGCAGUUAGUAGAACUAAUUGCAAAUAAGGUGGUAACACGGAAAUUUAAUCUUUCGUCCUUAUA